rnacentral:lncRNA from 1 species
UCGUAUGCAUAUAUAUAUAUAUAUAUAUAUAUAUAUAUAUAUAUAUAUAUAUAUCAUAUCUUGACUCCUUCCCUUUUUAUCUUCAGGGUUUUCAUUUGAUGUUGCUGUGCCCACGGAUGCUGCAUCUCCUCGUAAAGAAUUAUCUUCUCUGACUAAUAGUUUUUCACCUGAUUCAUUUUCAAAUGCUGAUGACAAGUCGGAGAAACCUUUUAAUAAAGUUGAGCAUACCGUCGAGACUGAAUCAGCAUAUAGCCAUAGCGAAGAUGAAUUCAUGAGAAGCCCAAAAGGUAGUCCAGUAAGACAACCUGCAUUUGAAAGCCCAUCUCAUGACUAUUCAGAUGACCAUUCCAGAAAGAGCUUUGAAGCAGAGACAGAAACACAAAGGUAUGGGUGUUAAGUCAUGUCUAUCUAUAUGGUUAUGCUAUUUCAAAUUUCAUAUCAAGUCCUUUUCCCUGCAUUUGUUCCUUGUUCUGUAAUUUUGGUGGUUUUUUGAGUCUUGUCCUUUCUUGCAGAAUCUUUGAUGAACCGGCCUGGGGUACGUUUGAUAAUAAUGUUGAUACAGAUUCAGUGUGGGGCUUCAGCUCCAUGAAUGUUAAGGUUAGUGGACUCUUUUAGAUGCACAUUUCUGUUCUUCCUAAUUGCACCGCAAUUUCUAUAUUAUAGAAGACGGCAUCCAUAGCAUGUGCAAUCAACUUUAUAAAUGAAUUUCUGCAGCCCUUGUAUCCAGCGGCGGACCUAUGCUAAGUGCCUAUGCUGAGAUUUUUUUUUAUAGGUAUAGGGUAGGGGCAAAUAUAUAAUUUAAUAAACUUAAAGGGGGCAAAUAUAUAUAUAUAUAUAUAUAUAUAUCAUAUCUUGACUCCUUCCCUUUUUAUCUUCAGGGUUUUCAUUUGAUGUUGCUGUGCCCACGGAUGCUGCAUCUCCUCGUAAAGAAUUAUCUUCUCUGACUAAUAGUUUUUCACCUGAUUCAUUUUCAAAUGCUGAUGACAAGUCGGAGAAACCUUUUAAUAAAGUUGAGCAUACCGUCGAGACUGAAUCAGCAUAUAGCCAUAGCGAAGAUGAAUUCAUGAGAAGCCCAAAAGGUAGUCCAGUAAGACAACCUGCAUUUGAAAGCCCAUCUCAUGACUAUUCAGAUGACCAUUCCAGAAAGAGCUUUGAAGCAGAGACAGAAACACAAAG